rnacentral:misc_RNA from 1 species
CCAAUAGCGUAUAUUAAAGUUGUUGCAGUUAAAAAGCUCGUAGUUGAAUUUCGGGAUUGACGUGAUGGUCAUGCCUUAAGGGGUAUGAACUGUUGCAGUUGAUUUCUCACCUUCUGGAGAAACUUGAUGUCCUUUAUUGGGUGUCUUGCGGAUCCAGGACCUUUACCUUGAAAAAAUUAGAGUGUUUAAAGCAGGCAUUUUUGCUCGAAUACAUUAGCAUGGAAUAAUAGAAUAGGACGGCAUGGUUCUAUUUUGUUGGUUUCUAGGAUCACCGUAAUGAUUAAUAGGGAUAGUUGGGGGCAUUAGUAUUCAAUUGUCAGAGGUGAAAUUCUUGGAUUUAUUGAAGACUAACUACUGCGAAAGCAUUUGCCAAGGAUGUUUUCAUUAAUCAAGAACGAAAGUUAGGGGAUCGAAGACGAUCAGAUACCGUCGUAGUCUUAACCAUAAACUAUGCCGACUAGGAAUCAGACGAUGUUAAUUUUUUAAUGACUCGUUUGGCACCUUACGGGAAACCAAGUGUUUGGUUC